AGAACACCUGAUAAAGGUAAAUAAUAAAUGUCAGGGAAAUUGUGGGAAAAUCUUGGAAAAGAGGGAAAGUUUGGUUGAGCGUCCUUGGUGGCCGUAUAUAAAGCACAGAGAGGGCGAAAAGCGCCAUUAUUUCAAAGUGGUGUGGAACAGAAACAGUUCAGUCAAUUUUUAAAUGUUUUUUUGUGAAUAUAAAAAGGAAAUACUGAAUUGGCAGUUACAAUUUGUGUGUUUUAUUGUUUUAUUUGUGUGGCGUAUCUAAACAAUUUGAAUAACGCCGCGCAUAAAUCCACAAUUGGACAACGCCAUCCGACUUGGACGAAAAAGAAGCGGGCAUCCCCAACAAUUAUUUUUGUAUCGCCAGGUGCGGCACAGGGGUUCCAGGCAACGAAAAGGUUCUGGAAACGGCCAAAAGACCUGGGAAACUGCCAGUGGAUAGCCCUUGGAACAGGCAACAGUACCAAUCCGGGAAGCUAACCAGUAGAUCCCACCUAAAAAUC